rnacentral:rRNA from 1 species
GACGAACGCUGGCGGCGUGCUUAACACAUGCAAGUCGAGCGGUAAGGCCCUUCGGGUACACGAGCGGCGAACGGGUGAGUAACACGUGGGUGACCUGCCUUUAGCUCUGGGAUAAGCCUGGGAAACUGGGUCUAAUACCGGAUAUGACCUCAUGACGCAUGUUGUGGGGUGGAAAGCCUUGUGCGGCUAGAGAUGGGCCCGCGGCCUAUCAGCUUGUUGGUGGGGUGAUGGCCACCAAGGCGACGACGGGUAGCCGGCCUGAGAGGGCGACCGGCCACACUGGGACUGAGACACGGCCCAGACUCCUACGGGAGGCAGCAGUGGGGAAUCUUGCGCAAUGGGCGAAAGCCUGACGCAGCGACGCCGCGU